AGUGAACGCUGGCGGUAGGCCUAACACAUGCAAGUCGAACGGCAGCACAGGAGAGCUUGCUCUCUGGGUGGCGAGUGGCGGACGGGUGAGGAAUACAUCGGAAUCUACUCUGUCGUGGGGGAUAACGUAGGGAAACUUUCGCUAAUACCGCAUACGACCUACGGGUGAAAGCAGGGGACCUUCGGGCCUUGCGCGAUUGAAUGAGCCGAUGUCGGAUUAGCUAGUUGGCGGGGUAAAGGCCCACCAAGGCGACGAUCCGUAGCUGGUCUGAGAGAAUGAUCAGCCACACUGGAACUGAGACACGGUCCAGAAUCCUACGGGAGGCAGCAGUGGGGAAUAUUGGACAAUGGGCGCAAGCCUGAUCCAGCCAUACCGCGUGGGUGAAGAAGGCCUUCGGGUUGUAAAGCCCUUUUGUUGGGAAAGAAAUCCAGCUGGCUAAUACCCGGUUGGGAUGACGGUACCCAAAGAAUAAGCACCGGCUAACUUCGUGCCAGCCGCCGCCGUAA
rnacentral:rRNA from 1 species